AGAGAGAGAGAGAGAGAGAGAAUUUACUCUAAGGCCUGAUGGUAGCUGCUAAACUGAAGGAUGAGACAUGGUUGAAUUCAUGAUGUUGUUCACUUUACCUAGUCCUGCUCAGCUCAGACUGUAGAUGGAGGGGUGACCUCAGUGCUCAGCCAGGCAGCCCCAGGGCAUGAUGGGGGAGUGACCUCAGUGCUCAGCCAGGCAGCCCCAGGGCAUGUGUUUCUCAUCCUGGUCCACCAGCAGACUUUAGCCAUUGUUCACUUGCCAUGGUCACAGACCACGAGAGCAGAACUCAAAGGCGGUGACUCGGUAGGUUAGCCACAGCAAGUAAAGGACAUGCAGUAGCAUUUUCAGAAUGAAGCCUGACCUCACCACACCUCUACCCAGAAACAGGGUCCUGUGCCUCCUGUGUCUGUGGGUGACGCUGCUCCCUAUAUUCUGACCGUCUCCUGAAACUGAACUUGCAAGGAAAUGUUUAAAAGUAGAAAUGGCCAGAUUUCUUCCCCAGGGUAGGAGAUGACAAAAAAGUUCUCUGAGUGGAGCAGGGAAGACGGGGAUUUGUGGUGUCAGAGAUUCUCCACACUGGACUUGACACAUGGGAUUCUAAAAAGAACCAAAAGACAGUUAAUAUGAGUUCAUCUCACAGAGCGUAGGAUGCUGGAUGGAACCCAGGCCUCCCACGUGUUAGGCAAAUGCUCUGCCACUGAUCCACACCUGAGCAGUUGAGCUAUUCUGGACACUUCGGGCUCCAGCCCAAGCAGAGUCGACUCUGCUUUGAAGCUGCUACCAGCUGCCUUGGCUUGUUCUCUGGUGCUGUUUUGUCUACCACAGCAGGAGGAGAGGGAAGGUGCACGGUAGAAACACCGCGAUUGUUUUCCCAUCUCAGAAUGUGUGGAUGAAAUCCGUGAGUCAUGCAUGACAGGAUCCCUUUCGGGUUCCAGGCAAGGGAACUGUUCCUUUGGUUCUGCUGGCUGCUGCUUUGGGGGAGUCAUCUAACCCUUUCCCAGCAGGAGAGCAGACAGAAGCUAACCCCAGACACGGGGCUCUGAUGUGUCUUCUCCAAGGCUGUCUGUCCUAAAAAGGUGGCUUUCUGUCCCAACCUAAGAGCAGAAGGUGCCUAGUCACAGAAAGGCUCACUCAAGAACUCUUCUACAGCAAGGAUUUUCAGGGCCCAAGCUGUCAGGUGUGAGCAUCAAGGAUACUGAUGAAUUGCCUUGAC